GAGAAAAAUCUUACUUUUUACUGCAAAAUUAAAAAUGGUAAAACAGAAGAAAUAGAUAAAAAUAUUAGCCUCACCAAGGAAAAUAUUCAAAGGCAAGCUAACAUAUGAAAGAUGCUCUUGGGGCUGGUGUUGUGGCAUAGUGCUGGUAAAGCCACUGGCUGCAUUGCCAGUUUCCCAUAGGGGUACUAAUUUGAGUCCCGGCUACUCCACUUUGGGUGCAGCUCCCUGCUAAUGGCCUGCAAAAAACAAUGGAAGAUGGCCCAAGUAUUUGGGCCUCUGCCAAUCAUAUGAGAGAUACAGAUGAAGUUCCUGGCUUUGGCUUGGCUCAGCCCCGGCUAUUGUGGCCAUCUGGGGAAUGAACCAGAGGUUGGAAAGUUUCUCCCUGUCUCUCUGAAUUUGUUUCUGUAACUGACCUUCAAAUAAAUAAAUCUUACCACGUUAAAAAAAAAAUUAGGCUUUUGUAUUAACUUCUUGGAUAAUAUAAAAUUGAAAAAGAAUCAGAGAUUGCUUUGCCUUUUUUCCUUCAAGUUUUAAUUUUUUAAAAUUUUAUUUUAUUUUAUUGAAAGGCACUUUCAGCCCCAGCCAGGGGCCAUUGCUGGCAUGUGGGGAGUGAACCAGCAAUAGGAGUUCUCUCUCAUUUUUUUUUCACUUUCUCCUCUCAAAUAAAUUUAAAAAAUUAAAAGGAGUACAGCUCAGUGGACAUAACAAUGUUUCAGAGAUUUGAGAAGAAUAUAGUCUUUGGGAAGGAGCUAGAUUUCAGCCAUUAUUUAUGAGCCACUCAAUAAUGACACAGAGGAACUCCGAAUAACUUCAGUAUCCAUCAUUAUUUUCUUUGAAGGAGGUUCAUCUUCUGGGGAAACAAACUCCCUGAAAUGUGGUGCUUUCUGUUUUAUUUCACCAGAUGGGUGGAAGGGUGGUCCACAUCAACUUUGUGCAGCUUUCCAAACAAGAUCAGAGAAUGAAGGAGAUUGCUUUAUUAGCUGCUGCUUAUGGACUCAUAAAGACCACUUUGUGAGGCUCCAUUGUUCCACCUCCACAGUUUACCACAGGACCUGGAGAAAGAAACAAGAGAUCAAGAAAAAGAGAGGAAUGAUUAUUCAUGUAUUUUCAACGUGGUAAGUUCUGGCAAAAUGGAAAUACAUUGAUUUGUGAAAGUGGAUUCCUGUUAUAUUUUAGCAGUCUAAUGGAGUUUGCUUUAUCAUGAGUGCUUUUGGUACUUGCUGUACUUGAUCUAAUCAGGAAUGAAGUCUUUAAACUGGCUUUACAAACCCAUGACACAAUAGUUAGUUGGCAACUGAGAUUACACUUAAUUAGCAUAAGUGGAAAAUUUACCAUUUUUUUCAUUCCCUUUCCUGCCCAAGUUUUUCCUACCAUUUUAUUUUUGGAACUUUUUCUCAGGAAAGUGUCUCUGCUUUCUUGUACUCCUUUCCUCACUUCCUAGUUCUGGGCAAUAAAAAAGUGAAUAAACACA
rnacentral:lncRNA from 1 species